rnacentral:ncRNA from 1 species
CGUGACUGCGUGCCUUUUGAAGAAUGAGCCUGCGAGUUUGCGGUGUGUUGCGAGGUUAACCCGGGUGGGGAAGCCGUAGCGAAAGCGAGUCCGAAUAGGGCGUUUCAGUAGCACGCUCAAGACCCGAAGCGGAGUGAUCUAGCCAUGGGCAGGUCGAAGCGGAGGUAAGACUUCGUGGAGGACCGAACCCACCAGGGUUGAAAACCUGGGGGAUGACCUGUGGUUAGGGGUGAAAGGCCAAUCAAACUCCGUG